CAUAGCACUCCCACACACAUGGAGCUCUCCUGCAGUAUGCAGUGUAAUGCCCCAAACCAUCACUGGUCAUCUUUCCAUGGAAAGCAAUUAAUGCCCUCAAAGUGAACGACUUUCCUUGGAGAACCAGGUUGGAGGGAAAUUCAUUCAGUGGAAAUUCUGUAUGGUUUGCAAGAGAUGGAUUGGAGAGUGGCCUGAGGCAGGUAGACUCAGGUAGGCCAAGUCCUGCUUCCACAGCCGUGCCAAGAUGAGCCAUACCAGACUCUUUGAGGACAGAGAUGGCAGGAGAAACAAAUGGCACUUCCCUUGUCAUCCCUUUGCUGAGGUAG
ensembl:lncRNA